GACAGAGGGUGCAAACGUUGUUCGGAAUUACUGGGCGUAAAGAGCGCGCAGGCGGUCGUUCAAGUCGAGUGUGAAAGCCCCCGGCUCAACUGGGGAGGGUCACUCGAUACUGAUCGACUCGAAGGCAGGAGAGGGAAGUGGAAUUCCCGGUGUAGUGGUGAAAUGCGUAGAUAUCGGGAGGAACACCAGUGGCGAAGGCGACUUCCUGGCCUGUUCUUGACGCUGAGGCGCGAAAGCUAGGGGAGCAAACGGG
rnacentral:rRNA from 1 species